CCCGUCACACCAUGGGAGUCGAUUGCUCCAGAAGUGGCAGAGCUAACUCGCAAGAGAGGCAUGUCCCUAAGGAGUGGUCGGUAACUGGGGUG
rnacentral:rRNA from 1 species